rnacentral:lncRNA from 1 species
UUUUUUUUUUUUUGUCUUUUUGCCUUUUCUAGGGCUGCUCCCGUGGCAUAUGGAGAUUCCCAGGCUAGGGGUCCAAUCAGAGCUGUAGCUGCCAGCCUACGCCAGAGCCACAGCAACACGGGAUCCGAGCUGCAUCUGCAACCUACACCACAGCUCACGGCAAUGCCGGAUCCUUAACCCACUGAGCAAGGCCAGGGAUCGAACCUGCAACCUCAUGGUUCCUAGUCAGAUUUGUUAACCACUGCACCAAAACGGGAACUCCUCCGUAUUUCUAUUUGAAUGGGUUUAGUAUUGCUGUAGUCUUUCAGCUUUUGUUUGCUGGAGAAAUUCUGUAUUUUCCCUUCUAUUUUAAAUGAUAUUCUUGCUGGAUAGAGUAUUCUAGGUUGCAGAUUUUUUUCCUCUCAGCCCUUGAAAUCUAUCUUGCCACUCUGUUCUGGCCUGUAGGGUUUCUACAGAGAAAAAUAGCUGAUAGCCUUAUGGCUUUGCUUAUCAUUAAUGCUUUGCUUUUCUCUUGCUGCCUUUAGAAUCCUCUCUUGAUCUUUAACUUUUGCCAUUUUUCUUAUGUUUUGGCGUGGGCCUGUUUGAGUUCACCUUGUUUGGGGCCCUCUGUACUUCCUGUAUCUUCAUAUCAGUUUCCUUUAGAUUUGGAAAUUUUUCAGACAUCAUUUCUUCAAACACAUUUUCAAUCCCCCCUUUUUUUCUUCUCCUUCUAGAAUUCCUAUUAUUUGUAGAUUGGCCUGCUUUAUAUUAUCCCACAGAUAUCUUAUAUUGCUUUCAUGUUUUUUCAUUUGGUUUCCUGUCUGCUGUCCUGAUUGGGUGAUUUCCAUUAUUCUGUCUUCCAAGUCACUAAUUUCUCUGCAUCAUUCAUUCUGCUUUUUAGUGCCUUUAGCUCAGUUUGCAUCUCUGCACAUGAAUUUUCUAGUUUUUCAUGGCUCCUUCUUAUAUUUUCUAGUUCCUUUCUAAAGGAAUCUGCAUUACUAUUCAUAUCCUCUCUUAAUUCCUUGAUCAGCAUUAAUUCCUUCAGUAUUUUCACUAUCUCCCUUUUGAACUCAAUGUCUGUCAGACUUCAGAGGUCUGUUUCAUUGUUGACUUCUUUAGGUGAAUUCCUCUUUUCCUUUAACUGGGAUUGGUUUCUGAGCGUCUUCAUCUUGCUUAUGUUUUUCUUUGUCUGUGAGUUUAGGGAAGCCAAACUGUAGUCUUGCAAGGCUACUUCUAUGUAUUCUUUUUUUGUGGGGGGGAGGGUGGCUAUUUUUGGUGUGCGAGUUUGAAUAGUUUCUGUCUCUUUCUUUGGUGUGAGCAGACUGUUAUUUCCAGGACACUCAGUGUGUUUUCAGGGAGAAGGAGGAAGUGGGUAGGGCCAGCAGUCAGUGCCUGGUCAUUGGGUUCAAAACAGCAGCAAGGACCUGCAGGAAUGUGGUACAGGCUACUCAUAGUUGCAGGGUCCGAGUAAGUGGUAAUGAGCUCUAGGCAGAUCUACGAGGAGUCCAGAGCAUUUGGCAGUAGCAGCAGCAGUGUUCAAUUGCAAUGCCCUCCUCUGAGGUGAUUGGAACCACAGGUGAGGUGGUGCUUGUUCAGGGACCCCUAGUGGGAGCGGGCCAUGACUGCCUCUGGAGUCAGAGAUAACUGUGGUGGUUUGCCCCCACCACAUGCAGACCAUACAAGAAGCACCCUGUUCUGCCUAUCCCCCACAGGAGGUGCUGCGCCAGCUGCUCCUAGUUGUAGGGUCUUGGGAAGGGACAGAUGACCAUCUCUGGGUGCUGCCCAGAGCAUUUGGCAAUGGCAGCUGCAGGGCAGGUGUGUUCCCAGGGGAGUGAGAGCAAAAGUGUAUGGUGCUUGGGUGCAGUGCCCUCUUCUUUUUGCCAACCCCUGAGGUGACUGCAGGUGGAGCCCACUCACAUGUCCCCAGUGGUGGCAGGCCAUGCUUCUCUCUGGCCUCUGAGGCAACCGCUGAGGCCUGUCCCUGCUGCCUGUAGAUGGUGCAAGAGGCACCACACAGCACUCAGCCCCCUGAUGCUCUUAGGCCACACAAGAGGUGCCUGACCACUGGCAGCCUGCAGAAGAAGUGCCCAGUCUCCCUUCGAGGAGCAAGAGGCUUCUCACCGCCUGCUGGGAACCUGCACAGAGCCACCUGGUCCUCUGAGCCUGGGGCAUGGGCAGCUCUGGUGCCUGGAGCUUCCUUUGGGUCCACCCAUGCCCCUCCCUUCCCCAGCAAUGGUGCCUGGCCUCUCGUCCUGUGCUGCACAGCUGCUUAGCCCCUCAGGCUGUCCCCACAUGCCAGCCUCAGUCCUCUCCCCAGGACUCCCCUCUGGAGCCAGAGUCUCAGCACCCAGCCCCUGUCUGCGCAUCUCUGGCUGGGGUGUCCCGGCCAGUGGUUCAGAUGCAGCUCUCACUCUGCUUUGCCUUCCUCAGUCCAGCUGCUGUGCUUUUCGUGGUGACUUUGAGAUUCCUCCAUCUCAGCUUAUCUCCCUGUCAGUUAGCUGCCUUCCCAGGAGGUGGGAUCCUUUUCUCCUUCAGAGCUCCCUCUCAGGAAUGCUAGUCCCGCCCUGAUUCCUUUACCCUCUCUUUUUGUCUUUGGUUCUUCCCAGUUCUCUCAAGAGUUGCCCUUUUUGGAGGUUUAGGUUCCUCUGCCAGCAGGCAGUGGAUGUUCUGUGCGAGUCAUUGUACGUGCAGAUGUGUUUUUCUGAUGUGUUUGUGGGAGAGGGUGAGCGUGUCCUCUUAUGCUUCUGCUGUCUUGCUCCAACACUGGAUCCUUAACCCUCUGUGAUGGAACGUGCCUCCCAGGGGUCCCAAGGCGCCACCGAUCCCUUUGCACCCCAGUGUGAACUCCUUGUUCUUUUGGAUGCAGUGGUGAAUAGGGUUGUUUUCGUUCUUUUCCUGAUGGUUCAGUAUGAAUGUUUAGAAAUGCAGUGCCAGGAGUUCCCAUCGUGUUUCAGCAGAAAUGAAUCUGACUAGCACCCAUGAGGACAAAGGUUUGAUCCCUGGCUUCACUCAGUGGGUUAAGGAUCCCAUGUUGCCAUGAGCUGUGGUGUCAGUCACAGACUCGGCUCGGAUCCUGCAUUGCUGUGGCUCUGGUGUAGGCUGGCAGCUACAGCUCCAAUUAGACCCCUAACUUGGGAACCUCCACAUGCCAAGGAUACUGCCCUAAAAAGACACACACAAAAAAAGGCAAGGCUCACAGAUUUCAGCGAGUGGGGUGGUUUCGAGUGGGGAGAGAGCCCUGGGAGACCUUGAGAUAGGCUUAUCCCCACCUGCAGUGCUUCUCAGUGUACUGAGAGGGAGAGGGUUAAGGAAGUCAUGCUGGCAAAUGCCCCAAGGCCAGUGGGGACAGGGGGUCUGUAUUAGGAAACAGUAGGAAAAGUGGAGCAUUGGUCUCAGAGCACAUGGCCACCAGAUGGUGCCAGACACCAGCAGAGUCCCUCUGCAGCUCCCUGGCUGUGCCUUCAGGCUCAGAGAUGGGGUUGGAGACAGGUGGGUUGAACCUCAUGGAAGUGCCCAGGGCCUUGCACCUGGGUACAUGCAGCCUCUGAUACUCUGGCCCUCUUUGCCUCAACUCAGAGAGGGGACAUAGUUCCCCUUUCACACCUGUGGUUCCAUUCCUGUCUGGUUGGGCAGCCCAGUGCCUAGAGAGUUGGACAGGCUAUCAGGGGGCUCUGAGGGCCCUUUGAUGACUUGGAGGCAGCAUUCUUGGUCCAGAUGUACCUGGCUUGAAUCCUGGAGGUGCAGCUUCCUAGAAUCAGGCUGGCAUGGAAUUUGGCUUCUGGUCAUGAGCACAGUGUGUCCACGUGGUGGUAUUUUGGGGGCAGGCUGUGCUCAUCCCUGUGCCCUUUCUCUCCAGAGAGCUCCACACUCGCCUUCUUCCUUCUCCGUCUGAGCCUCUUCCUCCUCUGUGGCACCCUCGUUAGAAGGAAGCUACCUGAAUCCAGGUCAUGUGGAUACAAGCUGGGUGGUCCUUGAUUUGUCUGGAUCUCAGGUCUGAAGGGUGCUGAUGACUCAAAGCCUGCUCACUUGAUUUAAAAAGAGGGGUUGCUGAUUUCAGGGCAUAGGGUGGUGUCGGGUUGGGUGAGAGGCCCAGCCAACUUUGCAACUGGUAUUCAUUUUGGGGCACUGAGAGGAGCAGGUAACUCACGCUGGCAGGUGCCCAAGGCCAGUGCAGACCAAGGUUCUGCUGUGGGAGGCGGAGGGAACUCUGCACGUCCAGUCUCUGUUGAUCUUGGAGCCUGGGGGUCUAUCACUGUACUUCGCACCUUAUUGGAGUUUCCUUUCCCUUUGGCCAACAGCUCUUCUUUUAGCUCUCAGCCAUGCUUCCUGGCUUGACCUGACUGCAUUAGAGCAGUCCAUGCUAGGAGUAUCCUGCUGAUAGCUGUCUGGUUCCCAGAACAUGAAAGGCAGGUGUCUUGGUUCCCUUCUUGGGGCUCUUCAAGCAGCAUGGUUGGGAGCACAUCUUUUUGGAUGGACUGCAUCCCCUUCAGAUGCUGGGUGAGUGUCUGUGGAAAUCUGGGGGAGAACCUGACCUGAUCGGCCCAGCAGGGACCCCAGGAGCUGCAGGCCCCUCAACCCCUCUGCCAACUUCAGAAUGGCUUCCCCAGGGGAGAUGCUUCACCAGGACGAAAAACACCUUGAGAUAGCUCAGACUUGUGACAGCUUUGGUCACUAGGGGUGACUUGAGCCCGAUGCUAAGGCCACUAUGUCAACUGCCUCUCUUCCCUCUCUUUCUCUCUGAAUUUUUGGUGUCUUUCUCUCACUCUUGUUUCCACUUUCUCCCCAUUUUAUGCUCAGCCCUCUCUCUCUCUCCCUGUCUGUCUUCCUUUUGGUCUCUGUCUCCUCUGUUUUUGUUGCUGGUGGACGGUGGAAAAAGCCUCCUCUUUUUGUGGUCGCCCAGUAGAAGCACUGGAGCAUGGGGGUAGGUGGGGUUGGGGCCGGGAUGUGCAUUACAACCUGGGGAAGUGUGCAAAGUCUGUUCCCAGGGGUGAACCCAGUUUGGCCAUCCCACGUCCUAUCUGAAUGACCAGGACUCAGCUUCCCACUAGGAGCAUCUUUAGACACGGAAAGCCAGGAAGCCCAGGAGAGCCCGAGGGGUUUGAGAAGCCAAGGCAAAGACAGCUGGUCUUUCCCUCUCUUUCUUUGUUGUUUCAGGUGCAACCCUGAUCAUGCAGAACCCAGAGUCCUACAAGGCAGGGAGAGCAGAGCACGACGAUGCGUGGACAAUGGAAAGGUGUGACAACGCAUUCUGGGGAGGGGAAAAGUGUUAACCUUGGGAUUCACUCUCAGAUUUUGGAAUAGAGAAAAUACUCUUGCCACCCAAUUCUGCAGCACCACAUCUUCCUUCUGUGGACAAAGAAAUGUUUCUCUUGGCCUUUGCCGAAAAAUCUGCACGUUCAUGCCUUCUCUCAUGUUUCCUAUCUCUGCCUUCCAUACUUGGGUAUGCCAUUCUUUAUCCUCCCAAGGGAUCCAUUAACACAAAACACACUUGCUUUGCAAUCAAAGUGUACUUUAUUAAAAUUACUUUUACAGUUUUUAUCUGUGUCUCAUUCGGUGUCACUCUACAUGUUUUAAAAAUACCAACUCCAGGCAUGGGAUAUAAAGAAACAUGUCAGAGACAUGAGGAGGGAAAAGGUGAGAUAUGGAUGUUCCAGCAGCCAGGGUCUGGGCAUGCAAGGCUCGGCCAACCAUGUCAUCCUGAAAGAGGGAGCGUGACAGAGUUCCCAUGGUCAAAGGUACAAACCGACAUGAGGCCACAGAAUCCUUGGAAAGAAACUGGCUUGAGGGCAGUUGGUCAGGACUAAAUCCACAGUCCCCUUCUUCAGUCAGGACUGAUGCGGGUGACAGGACAGGGGGUGGACACUAGGGUGACUGCCUGACUCCAGUGCAUUAAGUUCUACCUCUGCUUAAGGGGGCUUUCCUAUACCUGUGUUUAUUUUAUCGAAAACUAGUUUUAAAAAAAGCAAAUGGAUAGGUAACAAUUAUUUAAUACACAAUCUUACAUUCUACCAAAAUCUUAUAUACCAAGUAGUAAACAUGUAUCAGAACUUAAUACUAAAUCUAGACAAUAAAGAACUAAGCUUAUACUAAAGUUGGCUCGUAAUAGAUGAAGAGUGAGGUCAAUCUUGUAUCCUGGUCAAGAUGGAAACUUUUGGACUCUUCCAGUCCCAGGCUGAGGCUUCAAGGUGUCCCAGAGGAGUCUGCAACACAAACACAGGGAUGCCAUCACCGAGGAGGUGCAGAGUCAGAUGGAAGGAGGGCUCCCCUGGGUGGAUGUGUGGGUCCGUCAGGCUCCUCAGGGCCUGGAACUCCCCAGGGCUCAGAUCCCCGUGGCACUGCCGUCUAUGCUGUGCUUAGCUGAGGAGGUUUUCUGUUAGCAAAGAGGGAAUACAAUUGUCCUCCAGGAGCGAGU